GGGGUUGUGGUUCAAUGGUAGAACGCUCGCUUGCUUGCGAGAGGUCAGGGUUCGAUUCCCUGCAUACCCA